GCAAGUUGCUACUCAAUGUUAUCAUAUCGUGAAGGCAUCAAGUUGCUAACAAAUGAGGACUCAGUUGCUGCAAUUCUGAUUAUAACAACA